rnacentral:rRNA from 1 species
AGUGAACGCUGGCGGUAGGCCUAACACAUGCCAGUCGAACGGCAGCACAGUAAGAGCUUGCUCUUACGGGUGGCGAGUGGCGGACGGGUGAGGAAUACAUCGGAAUCUACUUUUUCGUGGGGGAUAACGUAGGGAAACUUACGCUAAUACCGCAUACGACCUACGGGUGAAAGCAGGGGAUCUUCGGACCUUGCGCGAUUGAAUGGGCCGAUGUCGGAUUAGCUAGUUGGCGGGGUAAAGGCCCACCAAGGCGACGAUCCGUAGCUGGUCUGAGAGGAUGAUCAGCCACACUGGAACUGAGACACGGUCCUGACUCCUACGGGAGGCAGCAGUGGGGAAUAUUGGACAAUGGGCGCAAGCCUGAUCCAGCCAUACCGCGUGGGUGAAGAAGGCCUUCGGGUUGUAAAGCCCUUUUGUUGGGAAAGAAAAGCAGCAGGUUAAUACCCCGCUGUUCUGACGGUACCCAAAGAAUAAGCACCGGCUAACUUCGUG